rnacentral:rRNA from 1 species
AUUGAACGCUGGCGGCAGGCUUAACACAUGCAAGUCGAGCGCCCCGCAAGGGGAGUGGCAGACGGGUGAGUAACGCGUGGGAAUCUACCCAGAACUUCGGAACAACUGAGGGAAACUUCAGCUAAUACCGGAUACGCCCUACGGGGGAAAGAUUUAUCGGUUUUGGAUGAGCCCGCGUUGGAUUAGCUAGUUGGUGGGGUAAUGGCCUACCAAGGCGACGAUCCAUAGCUGGUCUGAGAGGAUGAUCAGCCACACUGGGACUGAGACACGGCCCAGACUCCUACGGGAGGCAGCAGUGGGGAAUAUUGGACAAUGGGCGAAAGCCUGAUCCAGCCAUGCCGCGUGAGUGAUGAAGGCCUUAGGGUUGUAAAGCUCUUUCAGUAGGGAAGAUAAUGACGGUACCUACAGAAGAAGCCCCGGCUAACUUCGUGCCAGCCGCCGCUGUAACAC